UCUCUCACUAUUUAGAGUGUUGAUAGAAAAUAUGUGUUUCAUUUACCCGACACAUUCCCAGAGACUCAAAGUAUCUUGAAGUACAUUAUUUCCACUCAUCAUCCUGCCCCUCCUCCACCUCCUCUGGUCUCUCGUACAGCUGUGUGUUUGGUACCAAUACAACAAGGACAGUGUUUUGAUGCUCAUAUGGAUUCUCCUAUACCUGGUCUACAGUAUGUGAUGGGUACUGAUACUGAUCCUGAACUAUAUGAUACAAUAGUAAUGGCUAAUCUUGAUUAUUUCCAGCUAAAGGGUAAGCCAGGAGCAUGUAAGCUGAGACUAAGAGAAGGAAGAUCAUCAGAAGUAUAUCAAAUAUCAAG